UACAGAGACUGCAAGCGUUAUUCGGAUUCACUGGGCGUAAAGGGUGCGCAGGUGGCCAAGUGUGUCAGGUGUGAAAUCCCGGGGCUCAACCCCGGAACUGCAUCUGAAACUGCUUGGCUAGAGCAUUGGAGAGGGAAGUGGAAUUCACGGUGUAGCAGUGAAAUGCGUAGAUAUCGUGAGGAACACCAGAGGCGAAGGCGACUUCCUGGACAAUUGCUGACACUCAGGCACGAAAGCGUGGGUAGCCAAAGGG
rnacentral:rRNA from 1 species